ACAAAGUGUGACCAUAUAAAUUCGAAGUCGAAGAUGAGAACCUAUCAUAGAUAAAAUAGGAUAGAGUUGAACAUGAAUUGAACACCUUCCCAUUCAUACUUGUAUUCUACCUCGUACGUAGACAAGUGUUGAAAAUGGCUUAAGAGACAACGUGCCACAUCGGUAAAGAAAGAAGAAAAAGAGGGUUUCUAAUGGGGCAAAACCAAACAAAAAUGGCCUAGUGAUGGGAGCCCAGUUUCAA
rnacentral:misc_RNA from 1 species